rnacentral:rRNA from 1 species
UACGUAAGGGGCAAGCGUUGUCCGGAAUCACUGGGCGUAAAGCGCACGUAGGCGGUUUAGCAAGUUGGGGGUGUAAGCUCUAGGCUUAACCUAGAAAUUGCCUCCAAAACUACUUCACUUGAGUAUUAGAGGGGAAGCUGGAAUUCACGGUGUAGCGGUGAAAUUCGUAGAUAUUCGCAAGAACACCAGUGGCGAAGGCGGCUCACUGGCCCAUUACUGACGCUGAGGCACGAAAGCGUGGGGAGCAAACAGG